rnacentral:lncRNA from 1 species
CCUCACCACUGCGGGGGUCCACAGCCACCAGCAUCUGUCAUGACUGAGUCACCUCCUCACGGACGAAGGCUUCUCCUCUUGCUCUCUUUCCAAGCCACUCUCUGUAGGGUCCCUGAAGAAGCAGCAGAUCCGCUCCCCACCCUGCCUGGAAUCCUGGGCCCUGCCCGGUGUGGUUCCCUGGGGACCUCGUCACAGGCUCUCUGUGACUCCCCGGAUCACUGCCAGUUUCGUCCCAGCUCCCAGUGCCCCUCUCGCCCAGGUGGCCCGUCCUCAGACCUCACCCUUUGCCCUCAUAUCUUUGUUUGGACACCACCUCCCAGAGCGGGCCAGGCCAGCUAGCCAGAUCCAGCAGCCGCCGUGACAUCACCCGCCACCUCCCUGGGACCUUUCCCUCUGCUGUUUGUGUCCUGACUUAGCUCCGCUCCCUCCUGAACGAGGAUGUCUGUCUUGAAAGCCGGCGCCCUUGCUCAUUUGCUUGGUACCUGGCACCUCGCGUGGUACCCGGCACCCUGUAGGUGCUCAACGAAUUACCCCGGAAUUCCUUAAGGAAGCGUCUUAGUGGCCCCUUUGCCCCGUGACAUCCUGCCCUCCCCAGGCCCCAGGCUCCUGCCUGCUCAGAGUCCCCCGUGCCCUGGGUGUCUUGGAGCCUGGGAACACCUGGCUCCUGACGACACUCCACACUCAUCAAGGGCAGAGCCUGGAGUGCUGGACCCGGGUGGACGCAGCACUCAGCAUCAGCCCCAGAGUUCACCAGCUCAGGUGAACGCCUGCGAGGAGCGCGGAGGGGUGACCUCAGAGAACUGGCGUCUGGGAGGUUCUUGGUUGCUUUGCUGUUUAUUGAGCACGAACACAACAGGUUGAGGAAGUCAGAUAAACACCCAAGCCAAGGAAACAGUAGGUCGGGGGCUGCUGAGCGCUGCGGGGAGAAGGACG